rnacentral:rRNA from 1 species
GACGAACGCUGGCGGCGUGCUUAACACAUGCAAGUCGAACGGAAAGGCCCUGCUUUUGUGGGGUGCUCGAGUGGCGAACGGGUGAGUAACACGUGAGUAACCUGCCCUUGACUUUGGGAUAACUUCAGGAAACUGGGGCUAAUACCGGAUAGGAGCUCCUGCUGCAUGGUGGGGGUUGGAAAGUUUCGGCGGUUGGGGAUGGACUCGCGGCUUAUCAGCUUGUUGGUGGGGUAGUGGCUUACCAGGGGUUUGACGGGUAGCCGGCCUGGGAGGGUGACCGGCCACAUUGGGACUAAGAUACGGCCCAGACUCCUACGGGAGGCAGCAGUGGGGAAUAUUGCACAAUGGGCGGAAGCCUGAUGCAGCAACGCCGCGUGCGGGAUGACGGCCUUCGGGUUGUAAACCGCUUUCGCCUGUGACGAAGCGUGAGUGACGGUAAUGGGUAAAGAAGCACCGGCUAACUACGUG